rfam:Gossypium raimondii Chr03_contig_621, whole genome shotgun sequence.
CACGUCAACGCGCUUUGCUAACGUGGACACAAAUCGUGUCCUCUGAAGCGCUAUUUGUUGCCAUGUCAGCAAAGCGCGCUGACGUGG